GACGAACGCUGGCGGCGUGCCUAAUACAUGCAAGUAGAACGCUGAAGGAGGAGCUUGCUUCUCUGGAUGAGUUGCGAACGGGUGAGUAACGCGUAGGUAACCUGCCUGGUAGCGGGGGAUAACUAUUGGAAACGAUAGCUAAUACCGCAUAAUAGUAGAUGUUGCAUGACAUUUGCUUAAAAGGUGCAAUUGCAUCACUACCAGAUGGACCUGCGUGGUAUUAGCUAGUUGGUGAGGUAACGGCUCACCAAGGCGACGAUACAUAGCCGACCUGAGAGGGUGAUCGGCCACACUGGAACUGAGACACGGCCCAGACUCCUACGGGAGGCAGCAGUAGGGAAUCUUCGGCAAUGGACGGAAGUCUGACCGAGCAACGCCGCGUGAGUGAAGAAGGUUUUCGGAUCGUAAAGCUCUGUUGUAAGAGAAGAACGAGUGUGAGAGUGGAAAGUUCACACUGUGACGGUAUCUUACCAGAAAGGGACGGCUAACUACGUG
rnacentral:rRNA from 1 species